rnacentral:rRNA from 1 species
GAUGAACGCUGGCGGCGUGCCUAAUACAUGCAAGUCGAGCGAACAGACGAGGAGCUUGCUCCUCUGACGUUAGCGGCGGACGGGUGAGUAACACGUGGAUAACCUACCUAUAAGACUGGGAUAACUUCGGGAAACCGGAGCUAAUACCGGAUAAUAUAUUGAACCGCAUGGUUCAAUAGUGAAAGACGGUUUUGCUGUCACUUAUAGAUGGAUCCGCGCCGCAUUAGCUAGUUGGUAAGGUAACGGCUUACCAAGGCGACGAUGCGUAGCCGAACUGAGAGGGGGAGCGGCCACACGGGAACUGAGAACCGGUCCAGACUCCUACGGGAGGCAGCAGUAGGGAAUCUUCCGCAAUGGGCGAAAGCCUGACGGAGCAACGCCGCGUGAGUGAUGAAGGUCUUCGGAUCGUAAAACUCUGUUAUUAGGGAAGAACAAAUGUGUAAGUAACUAUGCACGUCUUGACGGUACCUAAUCAGAAAGCCACGGCUAACUACGUG